AUAUAUAUUUAAUAUUGGAGAUAAUGGAGAUUGAACAUAAAUAUAUUUUGUAAUUGCAAGAAUGAAACAGAAUACGCAAUUAUAGAUAGCACUAUUUUAUACUAUAGCAUAGUGCAUGCUAGAUAAUAUAGCUGUUUGAUGUAUUAAUUCAGAGCAAUUAUAAGGGUUACGUUGCCCUACUGAGCACAGACUUGCUAACUGCCGAGCACAGUUAUUUUGAGAUAAUUGCAUUUUAAAGUUUAAUCGUGCUGCUACCGCUUAUGUAUGCUGCCACCGAAUUUCCAAGCCUUUAGUUUCCACCAUGAGACGAAAAUACUAUUAUACGUUAUUAUUAGUUGUAUCCGUGUACAAUUUCUUCUAAUAAUAACCGAAUCUAUUUCCAGCGUCGUGUACGAUGACAGACUCUUUUCCAGAUUAUUUCCGCUCCAUCUUUUAAAAUAUUUUUCAUCGACAAUUAACCUUGUCUUCAAUCCUUUCAAAUUGAAAAUUAAUCUUCGUAUUUGGAAAAUUGUGGUCGCAAGAUUCCAUUCUUGCUCAGUGCCAGAACUCUAGUAACACUUUAAGUGACACGCAGCACUCGAGUGAUCGAUUCUGUGGCGAGUUUCCAAAUCCAUGAAUUGGUGGUCGCAAUGAUUCUCGUCGUAAAUUUUAACCCGAUUAAAAUAACUUAAAGGUUAGACGAUUGUUUUUUAAUCGAUAUCAGUCUCUAGUUUAACGAAGACUGUUAUAAUAUACUCUAAUCAAGCCAUAUUUAACUGAAUAAACAAUGACGGCGCAUAUAAUUAAGUUCAAUUAGUGGCGAAACAAUUUUAUUUUUGAUACUGGGAAAUGGAUUUUAAUGUACAAUUAAAAUUCAAGUCCAUGUACUGAGCGUCUGUAAAUUUAUAAUAAAGCUGCAUAAUUGAGAACAGAGAGUUGUAUAAUGAAGUUACAGUGUAUUACGGAUGCACCACUACAUUAAAUGAAGAAUAUUGCGUUGAAUACACAAAUUUUCCAUUAGCCCGUGUUUCGGAAAAAAUCGUUCACACAAGCGCAAGAAUAUUAUAAAUAAUAUUCUCUAAUUAAUUUUUGAAAUUAAAAAUCUUUCCAUUACCGUCACGUAAUUUUUUUAUUUUUAUUUUUAUUUAUUUAUUUAUUUUUUAUUUUUAUUUUUAUUUUUAUUUUUUAUCUCAUCUCGCGUAAAAAGAUCUCCCAAAACGUAAAAAUUAUAUUCGAAAUUUUAUUACCCGAUAGUCCGGAUAUUUUUAUACAUACACAAUUAAAACUUUAAUUAAAUAGACUACGAUUCAACUACUAUUCCCUUGUUGAAUUUUUAUGAAUUUUAAUUAAAUUUCGCAUUCAAUCCUUACCUCAUUUUCACGAAUAUCAAAUUUUAAUUCAAACACGAAAAUAUAUUUGGCCUGUUUUAGAUGACUAAAAUUACGUCGGAUGAUAAAUAUCUAUUACAACGUCGUUUGAUAUAACGAAGAAGAAGAAAAAAGGAGGAAAAAGG